rnacentral:rRNA from 1 species
GAUUAACGCUGGCGGCGUGCAUAACACAUGCCAGUCGAACGAUGAAACUUUAAUGAACCCUUCGGGGAGAAUUAAAGCGGCUUAGUGGCGAACGGGUGAGUAACGCGUGAGUAACCUGCCUUACACAAGGGGAUAGCCUUUGGAAACGAAGAAUAAUACCCUAUAAAACCAUAAAAGCACAUGCAAUUAUGGUCAAAGUGAUAGCGGUGUAAGAUGGACUUGCGUCUGAUUAGCUAGUUGGUGAGAUAAAAGCCCACCAAGGCAACGAUCAGUAGCCGGCUUGAGAGAGUGUACGGCCACAUUGGGACUGAGACACGGCCCAGACUCCUACGGGAGGCAGCAGUGGGGAAUUUUGCACAAUGGGGGAAACCCUGAUGCAGCGACGCCGCGUGAUUUAGAAGGCCUUCGGGUUGUAAAAAUCUUUUGUAUAGGAAGAAAAUGACAGUACUAUACGAAUAAGGGCCGGCUAAUUACGUG